ncrna:unclassified sequences Hairpin ribozyme 1 from viruses-like metatranscriptomes
GUGCGGUCCCAUCUUCGGAUGAGGAAGCACGCCAGGGAAACACAAUCUUUAUGAUUGGCACAUUAACUGGC